CGCCCUUUUGUCCCUAGAGGGGAAAAGUUGUAACAAAGUUGGCGUAUUGGAAAUGCGCCUGGACCUAAAAA
rnacentral:rRNA from 1 species